UUUGUGGGGUGCUCGAGUGGCGAACGGGUGAGUAACACGUGAGUAACCUGCCCUUGACUUUGGGAUAACUUCAGGAAACUGGGUCUAAUACCGGAUAGGAGCCAUCUUUAGUGUGGUGGUUGGAAAGUUUUUUCGGUGUAGGAUGAGCUCGCGGCCUAUCAGCUUGUUGGUGGGGUAAUGGCCUACCAAGGCGGCGACGGGUAGCCGGCCUGAGAGGGUGGACGGCCACAUUGGGACUGAGAUACGGCCCAG
rnacentral:rRNA from 1 species